CCUACGUGCGGCAACAGUGAGGAAUAUUGGUCAAUGGGCGCGAGCCUGAACCAGCCAAGUAGCGUGAAGGAUGACUGCCCUACGGGUUGUAAACUUCUUUUAUAAAGGAAUAAAGUGAGGCACGUGUGCCUUUUUGUAUGUACUUUAUGAAUAAGGAUCGGCUAACUCCGUGCCAGCAGCCGCGGUAAUACGGAGGAUCCGAGCGUUAUCCGGAUUUAUUGGGUUUAAAGGGAGCGUAGAUGGGUUGUUAAGUCAGUUGUGAAAGUUUGCGGCUCAACCGUAAAAUUGCAAUUGAUACUGGCAGUCUUGAGUACAGUUGAGGUAGGCGGAAUUCGUGGUGUAGCGGUGAAAUGCUUAGAUAUCACGAAGAACUCCGAUUGCGAAGGCAGCUUACUAAACUGCCACUGACAUUGAUGCUCGAAAGUGUGGGUAUCAAACAGGAUUAGAUACCCUUGUAGUC
rnacentral:rRNA from 1 species